rnacentral:rRNA from 1 species
GUGAGGAAUAUUGGUCAAUGGGCGCAAGCCUGAACCAGCCAUGCCGCGUGCAGGAAGACGGUCCUAUGGAUUGUAAACUGCUUUUAUUUGGGAAUAAACUCCGGUACGUGUACCGGCCUGAAGGUACCAAAUGAAUAAGCACCGGCUAACUCCGUGCCAGCAGCCGCGGUAAUACGGAGGGUGCAAGCGUUAUCCGGAAUCAUUGGGUUUAAAGGGUCCGCAGGCGGUCUUAUAAGUCAGUGGUGAAAGCCUACAGCUCAACUGUAGAACUGCCAUUGAUACUGUAUGACUUGAAUUCGAUCGAAGUGGGCGGAAUGUGACAUGUAGCGGUGAAAUGCUUAGAUAUGUCACAGAACACCGAUAGCGAAGGCAGCUCACUAGGUCUGGAUUGACGCUCAGGGACGAAAGCGUGGGGAGCAAACAGGAUUAGAAACCCCGGUAGUCC